UGCAUCUGCCAGGCAUUAUGUGGGUCCUUUGCAGCCCUGGUGCUGUGCCCAUUUUGCAGCUGCAGAAUUCACAGUCUCACAGGGAACCAGACUCUCAUGUGUGGUUAAAGCCCAGCGAUUCUGACCCCAGCAACUGCCCACCCAUUGCCACUCCCAGCUGGUAACAGGUUCUUCUGGGCUGGGCAGUACCCUGAAUUUAC
rnacentral:lncRNA from 1 species